rnacentral:rRNA from 1 species
UAGGGAAUCUUCCACAAUGGACGAAAGUCUGAUGGAGCAACGCCGCGUGAGUGAAGAAGGUUUUCGGAUCGUAAAACUCUGUUGUUGGAGAAGAACGUAUUUGAUAGUAACUGAUCAGGUAGUGACGGUAUCCAACCAGAAAGCCACGGCUAACUACGUGCAAG